UGCCAGACUCCUACGGGAGGCAGCAGUGGGGGAUAUUGCACAAUGGGGGGAACCCUGAUGCAGCGACGCCGCGUGGGUGAAGAAGCGCCUCGGCGCGUAAAGCCCUGUCAGCAGGGAAGAAAAUGACGGUACCUGAAGAAGAAGCCCCGGCUAACUACGUGCCAGCAGCCGCGGCAAUACGUAUGGUGCAAGCGUUAUCCGGAUUUACUGGGUGUAAAGGGAGCGCAGGCGGCACGGCAAGCCUGAUGUGAAAGCCCGCGGCCCAACCGCGGGACUGCAUUGGGAACUACCGGGCUGGAGUGCCGGAGAGGUAGGCGGAAUUCCUAGUGUAGCGGUGAAAUGCGUAGAUAUUAGGAGGAACACCAGUGGCGAAGGCGGCCUACUGGACGGUGACUGACGCUGAGGCUCGAAAGCGUGGGGAGCAAACAGGAUUAGAUACCCGCGUACCU
rnacentral:rRNA from 1 species